UUUUUUUCAAUUCGUCAGUAUCUCUGCAGAAGUAGAGCCCGGGCGUGACCUCCCGCGGCUGCUCACAGAAGAUGGUGGCGCGCAGGCGCAGAACUUCCCCGGGGCUGGCGUCCAGCACGUCAGAUUCGCUCGGUGAACCCACCGUCUGUUGCUGCGUGAGGUGACAGUGUCCACAAAACACAGAGGAGGGUGUGUUAUACAGAGCAGUUGUAGGCAGGUGCAUGUGAGACGCCGCUGUGAAAGGCUGGUGGUCAGCCCUCGACUCAGUAACCACGGGAGAUCUCCGCUCUCGGAAGGCUGCCUGGAUCUGGUUAGUGAAAGCUCCGGAAGUGAAGCAGCCAGCAGCAAGAGUGGCUCCGGGGCAAAAGAAAACUUCAGCACAGCUCGCAGGCCAGUAUUCCCGGAGCAUGUUACACACCGACACCGGCUGUGUGUUCAAUUAACCAUGGCAGGAGCUGCUAGCACCAGCUUCUCCCAGGUUCUCUUCAGAUUUAUGAUAUAAAUGCCACCACUUUCCCUUUGGUAGAUGUGCUGUUCCAUUUGGAUGUCAAGACUUGAAACUAGAACUUAUCUGAAGUUUCCAAAUCUAUGUUGAAAGGAAGAGGAUUCUGAAAGCCCCUGACUUUUUAAGGAACAUGGCAAAUAACAAGUGUGACUGUGAAGUGAACCUAUGACUGGAAACUGAAGCCAGAAUCUCUGCAUUCCUUGCAAGUACCCAUGGUUCCUUUAAUUAUACUCCGGGCUUGUAAACAGGAAAGUGUUUCACAGAUGUAGAAAAUCCAAGAGAUUUUAAAGAUGGGAGAAUGAUGUUCAGUUUCCCUGUGUGACAAAGCUUGGAAAAUGGAAUAAAGGAACUGCCUCAUGGGAGAGAGUGAGGCUGAAGCCGUCGCACAGAAGCAGCAGAGCUGGAAGCAGAAAGGCUAUGAAUAUUAUGUUGUUAUCUGCAUUUCUGAGUUAAGUCUAAAAGCAAAUGUGACCGCAAAACAGAUGACUGAAAUGAACCCAUAGAAAAUGUAAGAAAGAAAAUUCUUCUAACUCUGAAUUCUGACCAGGAAUUACAGCCAGUAACAAGGAGCAAAGGUAUCAAGCUGGUUGGAGAAACUGGAAUAUUUAGAUGAAGCAUUCAAUACAGAGAGUUCCACUUGAUUUACCUACCAGGAAUGAUGAAAACUAUGAAACGUCUUGGCUUAAAAGAAAGUUGAAUGUCUAAGGAAAUUAAACUGCAAGUUGCCAUAAAAUAAUUUCCUCUUUCA